GCGGGGGUGGCGGAGUGGUCUAACGCGGCAGCCUGCUAAGCUGUUACUCGAAAGGGUGCACGAGUUCAAAUCUCGUCCCCCGCG
rnacentral:tRNA from 1 species